CGUAGGGGGCUAGCGUUGUCCGGAUUUAUUGGGCGUAAAGGGCGUGUAGGCGGCCAGGUAGGUCCGGUGUGAAAACUCGAGGCUUAACCUCGAGAUGUCAUCGGAAACCAUCUGGCUAGAGUCCGGAUGAGGAGAGUGGAAUUCCUGGUGUAGCGGUGAAAUGCGCAGAUAUCAGGAAGAACACCAAUGGCGAAAGCAGCUCUCUGGGACGGUACUGACGCUGAGACGCGAAAGCGUGGGGAGCGAACAGGAUUAGAUACCCUGGUAGUCCACGCCGUAAACGAUGGGCGCUAGGUGUGGGCGGUGUCGACUCCGUCCGUGCCGAAGCUAACGCAUUAAGCGCCCCGCCUGGGGAGUACGGCCGCAAGGCUA
rnacentral:rRNA from 1 species